UACGAAGGGGGCCAGCGUUGUUCGGAAUUACUGGGCGUAAAGCGCACGUAGGCGGCUUUGCAAGUCAGAGGUGAAAGCCCGGGGCUCAACCCCGGAAUUGCCUUUGAGACUGCAUCGCUAGAAUUGUGGAGAGGUAAGUGGAAUUCCGAGUGUAGAGGUGAAAUUCGUAGAUAUUCGGAAGAACACCAGUGGCGAAGGCGACUUACUGGACACAUAUUGACGCUGAGGUGCGAAAGCGUGGGGAGCAAACAGG
rnacentral:rRNA from 1 species